rnacentral:rRNA from 1 species
UACGUAGGGUGCGAGCGUUGUCCGGAAUUAUUGGGCGUAAAGAGCUCGUAGGCGGUCUGUCGCGUCUGCUGUGAAAACCCGAGGCUUAACCUCGGGCUGGCGGUGGAUACGGGCAGACUAGAGGUAGGUAGGGGAGAAUGGAAUUCCCGGUGUAGCGGUGAAAUGCGCAGAUAUCGGGAGGAACACCGGUGGCGAAGGCGGUUCUCUGGGCCUUACCUGACGCUGAGGAGCGAAAGCGUGGGGAGCGAACAGG